UAGGGAAUCUUCCACAAUGGACGAAAGUCUGAUGAAGCAACGCCGCGUGAGUGAAGAAGGGUUUCGGCUCGUAAACUCUGUUGUUAAAGAAGAACAUAUCUGAGAGUAACUGUUCAGGUAUUGACGGUAUUUAACCAGAAAGCCACGGCUAACUACGCGCCAG
rnacentral:rRNA from 1 species